rnacentral:tRNA from 1 species
GCCGUCAUAGCUCAGCUGGUAGAGCAUUUCCAUGGUAAGGAAAAGGUCCCCGGUUCGAUUCCGGGUGACGGCUCCA